UGUCUGACAAAGCUUCGUUACAUAUUAUUCUGAAAAUGUACUGCAAGGAUACACACUCAAGCAGAGCACGAUGCUGCUUUCCUGCAGAUAAAACCACAUCCUCAACACAAAGAAAAGGCGAAGACGCCGAGACUUUUGAGGGGAAGAGGACAGUUGUAGACCUCUUUUCCUCAAAUUAAUAACAACAGCAGACUUAGAAAAUAUCUCUUGAACUACAGACUAGGCCAGCAGUACAGCUGCAUGGUUCUGAGGAGCCCGGGAGGACUCCUGCUGUCCAGGCUGAAUCUUUCUACCCAUAAAAAUUCCCUC
rnacentral:lncRNA from 1 species